AACUAAAUUGUCUGGGCAAUUUAUAUUUGGCAGUUAUAGAUCUUAUCUAUCAAUUGUGCUGGGAAAAUUCCAAGUAAAUGUAUAGAUUACAUACCUGAAGUGAAGCUAUACGAGCCUUCAUAAUUCUUACGCUAAAAUCUGAAUUUUUAAUUGCAAUAGCAAGACUUAAGGGAAAAAAAAGUCACGUUAUGACUAAAGCCGAGACUUACU